CUCUGCUGUGUUAUCACCAGGAGGAGUCUUCGCACCACGGAGAGGAGGGAGCCCGCUGCUGCAGCAGCAGGGAAGCUGAUGGCAAGGCAGCCGCAGCUGCACCGUGCUGAAAUCCAUCCCUGCCUCCACUGCCUGAGGUCCUCCUGAGCGCAGAAGCGAUGGCAGGGUGGCAGGGAGAUGUCACCAUGCCAAAAGGAGUGGGGGAGCAGGCAUGACAGUAAUGGGGAUGCUGAUGAGAGUGAACCCAGAAAAACGGUGGACAUCAACAGAGACUGCAUGAUGGAGGUCAGAGAGAGAGUGUUAAUUGCCUUCAGAGGGCCAGCUUGUGAGCUCUUUGCAGUAUUUUUACCUGCCUUUACCUCUUGAGGAGGCACAGUGAUGCUGUAAGAACAGGGCUGUGGGUGAUGGUGGUUCAGAGAUCUGGGUGCACAUCCAUGGGCUGCAGAGGAGCCCCCUGGCCAUGCAGCAGGUCCAGCAGCCUUGCUAUAGGGGCAGGAGCCAUACAGCACUGAUCAGCACCACUUUUAUCAGAACGAGCCUGUUUCCAAUUUAGUCACCAAGAAAUAAAGGAAUCCUGAGAAUACACCCAUCUCUUAUCUGGCACAACAGCAAUGUCAGAUUUUUAAUUUUGAAUGAGACGACUAAAAGUGCUUCAUUAGACAAGGAGAGGGAGCUGCUGCAUGGGCUGGAGAAGCUGGGACGUGAUGGGAUAUUCCUACAGCGGGCAGUAAGUGUACAUCCCACUAUCACAACCCAACCCAGCUGCUCUGCUUCCUCUGGCUUCAGCUGGCAGCAGUUGGCUACAGCCAUGCAGAUGUUUUCAAAGGGGGAAGAGAAAAUUUCUCAUUUGUCAAUGAGCCUUGACUCAGGUACCCGUUAGCCACCAUGGGGAACAGUGACCCUCCAAACACAAUUUGUGACUAUUUAAUGUUGCAACGCUCUCUCACUGCUGUUCAAAACCAUUUGGGCACCAUCCUGGAGAGAACUGGGAGUAUGCGUGAGGAAGACUUGCACAGAAGAAGCCAGAAAGAUGCAGUUUUUGUGGCCAAACUUGCCAGUAUUUAACCCGGGGGAUCAGAAGGGCAGAAAGCAAAGGAGCAAUGUGUUGGAGCAUGGUGCCUUCAGGCUGCGUUUCGGUGGUCUCCCUCGAUGUUCUCAAGAAGCAGUAGGGUUACAUGGGGUGAAACGUUUGCAGUGUCCAGUCUUUCCUUCUUCCCCCCCUUUCCCAAACACACAGCAUGUGUCUGACGGGCAGAUCCACUCUCUGGAAAGUGCUAGUUGAAAUACGAACUUUAGUGUACAACUGCACACCAAUGUCCCCGUGAAGUUAAAGCAAAAGGUAUGUUCAGAUGUGGAUUAUAAAUGUGAGCAUAGGGAUUCAUUUCCUUAUUAUCCACAUGCAUGAACAGUACAGAACACCUAGGUUUUUUUGCUACUUCAAAAUAAAUAAAUAAACUUAGCAAAAGCUCUGAGACCCAGGAGCUGUAGCCCUCUGCUAAUGGUUUGUGCCCAGAAACAGUGCACGUUAACAAGCCCGUCUCUGCUGAAGCUUUUGAUAUCGCUGUUGCACUUGACAACCCCGACACUGAAGUGGCUCGGAAAAUGUCUCUGCUGGCCUUGCUAAUGCGCAAACUGCCUCCUUGCACUUACCGAAAUGCCUCUUGCAAGCACACACUGUGCAAACACGUCAGUGUUUAUUAAAUCUGGGCCUGAGAUGUGGAGCGGCCUCAGUCUACUCCGAUACCACGGAAGACAAUGUUCCACCCCCUGCAGGGUCAGCUCUUAGCUGGUAAAUAAAGCUAUAUUCUCAUUCUUCAUCAAGUAAAUUCCCUUUCUCUGGCAAUUGCACACCCUUGGAGUGAUGCCAGCGCUAUCUGAAUGUGACUUGCCCUUUGGGGAAUUUCCUUUAAUAUUUUCUCUCAGAGGGAUGAGAGAAGCUCAGCAUUAUGACGCCCUGUAUUCAUAUAAAUACCAUGAAAUGGUUGUUUACAGUCAGCUGUGCAAUAGUCCAGCAAAAAGCCCCGCUGUGCUCAUGAUGGGAAGGGUUUAGAACAACAGGUAGCUCUGAGAGGACCUGCAGCCAAAAGCUAGAUGUAUUUAUACUUGCUGCUAUGAGAUUUCUGGUGCUCAGCAUCUUUGGGGAUCGUGUCUCUAUAUUAACUGCUCAAGCUUUCUGAAGAUUGAAAGGCACAGCCUGGACCCUAGGAGACAACGUGGAAAUGAGUCAACAAUCCAGGGGCAAGCCCAGUCAGUUCCGAUAAUCUCAUCAGGCAAACUAAAUAUUUAAGUUGAAGCACAGACACUUUUUGUGGUGAGGAUUUCAAUUUGGACUGGAAUUUCACAGCUGUUUUUGGUGUCUUUGAUCUUGAACCAAACUCGAGUCCCCAGAUGCCCCAGGCUCUGAGGAACCUCAGAGAAGCCAUCUCUGAAUCUCGGUCUGAAAUACGCUGCUCUGUGGCAGUGGGAAUCGAGUUUCCCAUGGGUUUGGGCUCUGCAUUCCUUCCCUUCCCCUCCCAGCUCUCUCAUUUCCUCCCCGCCUGGCCGGGCGAGCGG